rnacentral:lncRNA from 1 species
AGCCCUGGCCCGGCCCAUGGCCGCCUGCACUGGUGGGUGGAGUCCACCCCAGGGCCCGUGAUCAGGGUGGGCCUGGUGGGCCUUUCUAGGCUAGGUUCUCAAUGCCUGACCUCCUACCCAAAAGCAGCAGCCCCGAAUGUGGGCCACGCACAAACCAGGCCAGCAGAGGAGGGAGGGGACACAGAGGUGAGCCUGGGGGAAGGGGAGACACAGAGGUGGGCCUGGGGGAGACGGAAAAGUGGGCCUGGGGGAGGGACAGAGAGGUGGGCCUGGGGGAGGGGGACACAAAGGGGGACCGCAGGAGGAGGCUUCCGUCCCAGGCAGUCCUGAGUCCAGGCCCUCCCCACCGCUUUUUUGUAAUGAAGGUACAGAGAGGGAGGCAAUUCCAACAGGGUCACUUAGGAGUCUCAGGGCAGUGAGAGAUGGAGAACACAAGUGUCUCAGCUUCCAGGAACCCUGAGAGCUUCUAGAACUCUCUUCAGCUUCUUGAGGUCCUCCCUCAGAGUGGGACAGCAGAAACAGCACUAGACCCAGAGUCCAGGGGCUGUGGUUCAGCUCCAUCUCCACCACUGAGGCCCUCAGGUAAGUCAUUUCUGGGCCUCUGUCUUCCCGUCUAUAAAAUGGGGAUGAGCGCGUGUCUCUCUCUGGUACAGGCACUCUGCACAUAUGCAUGUCCGCUCCUUGGCUCCUCUCCCAGGCUGGUCUCACCUGGAGCCCAGGACAAGUUUCUGUGAGCUGACCUGGGCUGGAUGUGGGAGGGAGCACCGGAGGCUUCCAGUGUGUGUGUGGGGGGGUGUGUCAUAAAAGACAUACCAUCAGCUGCUGCUUCUUGAGCACCUACCAUGUGCCAGGCCCCAUCCUAGAUACUUUAACACAGGAAUGUCACCUCACCCUCACACCAAGCCCCCAGGGCAGGCAGAAACGCUGUUAUCCCAUGGAAACUGAGGCUCAGAGAGGUUUCUGUGACUGGCUGAAGGUCACACAGCUGGGGAGCAGAGACAGACUCAAGCUCAGGCCAACCCUCAGAAUGGGCUCCCUUCCUCCUGUGAAGGGGGGGGGCAAGCCUGUUGGGAGCCACCCCAGGAGAUCAGCCUGUGGCUCCGAAAAGCCUCCCAGCGUCCCCAUCCCCGGGGACUGAGGCAGUCCCCAGCUUUCCAUUCAGGUUUGCUCUUUCAAUUAAAAACAAAACCAGAAAAAACCUAUACAAUGUUGUUUAUUAAAACAGCUGGACCUAAAGAGUCGCUGCCAUUAACACUCUUAACACCUCAUUUUUAAACAGGCACUAAGGCCCCACACAGCUGGAGCCUCCUGGCGGCCCUUGCCCACGCUCACCCUAGGCAGGAGGGAGCAGAGCCUGGGCCCCGGGAAUGGCUGGUCUGGGUUCAAAUCCCAGCUCUACCAGCUGCUGGCAGGGUGCUCUUCCAAUCGCCACUCUCCCUCUCUGUACCCUGUUUCCCCACCCUCCAGGGGACAGUGGUCCCUCGACCCAGAGUCACUGGGUGUCCUGGAGAGACGGGUGAGGUCAAGUGCUGGCCCAGGUCCCACAGGAAACAGCCGGCAUCUCUCCAGGUUAACUUAUCAAUGAUGACAAGUUAAGUUUCCCUAAAAAAGAUCCUCAGAUUCCCUCGAAGUAGCUCCUGGAGACAGAAAGUGUGUGUCUGAAUGAGAGAGAGAUAAUAGGUGUUUAUUAUCAUUUUAAGCCCCUACGUUGUGGGGUCAUCUGUUAGGCAGCACCAGAUAACACAGAAGUCAGCCUCCAGAUGGGGGGUCAGAGAAGGCAGAGAGCAAGUGAGGCUGAUCCAGAAGGUGCGAUUUCCAUGCUCCCAGGCUGGGCAUGUGGGGGCCCUUCCUCUCACUGCUUCCCUCCCAGCCUUGGCCUUCCCUGUAGGGCUGCUUCUCAUGACUGUUUACAGACACGAAAACAGAUCUGAAACAACUCUAACCCACGGAGCCUACUGUGUGCCAGCUCAAAGCCAAAGGCUUUCACAUAUCGUUUUCAUCAAAUUCUUCCAACAGCCGUUUGGGGGUGAAGGGUAUCAUGCCAGGUGCCUAGAAUAAUGUCUGGCACAUAAUAGGUGUUUGCAUUACAGUGAUAAACAGACCCCACAUUUCAGAGGCUUAAAGAACAAGAACUGCAUUCCUUUCAAAUAGGUGGGCUUCUCCUCAGGUUGACAAAAACCAGCUCUGGUAGGUCCACAAUCUAAAAGAGGGCUAUCAACCAGCCAACAUCCCGCUUGCUCAGCCCCGAGCCACCCACCUGGUGCCCCAGAUGGGCUCAUGCAGCCAUCGCCCCCACUCCUGGUUGGGGAGGAAAGGCUCGAGGGAUCAGGGGCUCUGGUCUGAGGCACCUGCCAUGUGACCCCAUGCCUCUGUGGGACAGGAGUCCGUGGGGGCCACAGCCUGACCCUGGCCAUCAGCCUCAACAGUGCCUGGCUGACACCCAUGAGCUGUGUACCCACUGUGUGCCAGGCCUGAGGCUGGGCACUGCUGGGGAAACCAAGAGGUACCAGCCUGGCCCCUACCUGGAGGGUCCUCCGCUGGUCGGGGAGGGGCGGACACAUAUGUGGACAGUUCUCUGGAGUCUGGGUGGGAGUGACCCACAUGGGACAAGGGGGCCAGUCUCCUGAAAGGAAGAGGUCUGAAUCAAGUGGUAAAUAACAAACAGGAGUUCCUGAGCAAAGACUCUGGGGAAGGGUUUUCCUGGCAGAGGGAACAGUCAAUGCGAAGGCUGAUGACCAGAGGACAAGGUGUGCUCUAGGAGUAGGGGAGGGCCUGACAGGGGCAGGAAGGGGGUGCAGGAGAUCACAGAGGCAGGUGACAGAGGCAAGGACUGGGCCAUGAAGCGUGCGAGGGGCUGGGUGUUGUUUGAAUCAAUCUCGCCUGUGUGUAGACCAGAGACCCAGGAGGGGCUGGGACUGUCCUCUGGGCCAGAGGCCAUGACCUGUUAAGAGUCAAAAGAUGCUUGAGAAGGGACAUGGGGCAGAGAAGGGGCCCAACAACUGCUGUGUAGCCGAACCCCUAGUCCCCUCCCCAGGGCCCUAGGCUUAAGGCUACCUCCCCUCCUCCAGCCUCUAGGAAUGGCCUAUCCUUUACCAAACUCAGUGUGGCAAAUGGUUCCUGGAAGCCUUGAGGCUGAUGGCUCUGGGGACCCCUGCCCACCACUGCCCCCAUCCCCCCAGGCUGCUGGCUGCCUGUGCCCCACCCUGCCUAAUGUCGGCAGAGUAGUGACACACUGGGCCAGCAGAGUCAGUUGGCUUUGGCCUCGGCCUCAGCAGGCAGGCAGGUGGCCAACACUCCAUGCCAGUGCCGGGAAGGCCUGGGGCGUGGCCGGCCAGGACAGCACUGUGGGUCUGUCCUGCUCUGGAACCUUCUAUGGCUCACCAGUUUCUCUCAGUGCGAAGCACUCCUGCAGGGGGAGGCCGCCAGGCUGGGAAGAGGAGCCCAGUUCCACUCGAACUUGCUUCAAGACCUCAGGCAAGUUGCUCAAAUGUCCUGAAUUGGACUCAGUGAGAGCUGAGAGUUUCCUCCAGGAACCCGUCAGGGAUCCAAUCCACAUUCAGCCAAGUUUCCAGUCCCACCUGGACAGGCCGCUCCACCUCCACCUGUUUCCCUGUAUGGCAGCAGUGCCCCGGGCACCCACCCCCGGCCCUGACUCCACCUCACCCCGAGCUCCCCCUUACCCCCUCCAGGCCUGUGACCCUCAUGCUUCCCAUGCUGCCCCCACCACAGGGCCUUUGCACCAGUUAACUCCCCACUUGCAAGUCUCAGCUCCAGCGUCACCUCCCUGGCGCAGCCCUCUUGACCCCAGACUAGGUCAGACCUCCUUGUACUUCUCUGUGGUAGCAGCACCUGUCACGGAUGUGUUUACAUUCAUCGGGGAGGCGGGCUGUGACUGCUGACCUCCCAAAAGGACGGUGGCCUCCACAGGCCAGGGACCAGGGGCUCGGUCUACCGACACAUGCCCGGCACCUGCUCUAGGCACAGGGCAGGGGUUUAAGAGGUUUUGUUGAAUGAACACGGAAGAUGCAAGAGAGGGAGGGAAGCGCAGAGGAAUGAAAAUAUGUACUGCCCAGCGUGAGGAGGACCUGACCAUAAGCCCAGGUCCUGGCUCGGGUGGUGGGGGGCAAUGUCACACACCUCACAUACACACAUACCUCACAUACACACACACACUCCACACACACACAAUCCCCUCAUAUAAAAAACACAAACAUACACUCACCCCGCACAGGGGCGGGAAGGGGCCUGAAGGCGGCCCUACCUCCAGGCCAGUGCCCUCACUGUCCCCAAGUCCCCCGAUGAACUAGACAGACAAGGGGCAGAGGCUCAGACAGGCAGAGGCGGGCUGGCCCAUGACUAGCCAAGACCCCUAGGCCGCUGAGGGCCAACCAGCCUCCAUAGCUGCCCACGCUGUCCCUGGAAGGCCUUAAAACUCCCAGCACAGCCAGGUGGGGGCCCAGGGAUGGGCCAGGCACCCCCACCCCCACUUCAUCCCCUCUUCCUGCACAGAUGGAGAAAUGGAGUCAGAGUCCCAGGGAAGACAUGGGGGAGGGAUGCUCACCGCCACCAGGCUGGCCUCUUGCCUGGGGCUCGCCUGCCUUCUCACCUGGAAGCCUGAGUCACACAGACCGGGGUUCAAAUCCUCGCUCUACACCCACCAGCUGUUCAGCCUCAGUUUCCUCGGCCGUGAGCUGGAGAUGAUCACGGCACCCCGCCCCCUCCACUCUGGGAUGUACACAUGGAGAACACAGCUGGCAGAGGCCCCUGCCCGCCCCCAGCAGCAGGCUGAGUCCAGCCAGGACUCCUCCCAAGUUGCAGGUGACCCCCUCAGAGCCAUCACUGUGAAGCUGCCUCAUCAGUCUCAGAAUCCCACCGCCUGGCCCUCACGGUGCGCCCUGCCCUGGAAAGGGAGGCCAUUGUACCGGGGUCACACAGUGAGGCCCCGGCAUGCAGAGACUUGAACUUGGGCCCAUCUCAGCAGAAACUCCAGCCCCGAACCUCCCACCCCAAAGUGAAUCUGGCAGAGCCGAGGAGGUGCCAGGGCUUGGCGGCAGCCGGGGGAGGGAGGGAGGGAGGCAGGCAGGCAGCUGGGGGUGGUGGGAAGAACCUUUUUUUCCCCUGUCUUUAGCAAACCCGGAUCCCCGUUUCCAAGCUGCGCUCCGAGCCCUCAGUUGCUGCGUCACUGCGCGCAGUCAGCCCACAGUGGGCGGAAGGGGAGGCUCCCUCCCUCAGGAAGGGACUGGGGGGACGGGGUGGGGGAGGGGAGCCAGGCAGAG